UCAAAAUAAUUCAAUUUAUAUAGCGUCUACCAUUCCGUUUAUCUGCCACUGCACGGUACUUAAACGAUCAAGAAUAAGAUACAGGUCAAACAAGCAAACCAUAACAAAAUGUUCAUCUUUGUACAGGUUCGUAAACUGUGUGACUGGUAUCGCCUUACGCGUGACAGGUAAAUUAUCCUCAUGACCAGUCUCAAGACCGAUGACGCAUUUAAAUUCCAUGACAUGUCACGAGACCAACCAUCGAGGCUUGGAAGCUAACCUGUUUGAGACAUGAGACAUUUUCAGCAGAGCGUGAAUGUACGGGUGGCUUGACAUGUCGCGAAAAAUGUACACAGGUUCCAACUAUGGUUCAGAUAACUAUUAUGCGGAUUAUAUCAUUAGGAAUUUGAAGGUCACGAAACGAAACGUCAAUUCAGCCGGUGAAGAAGUCGAAGAGACACGAUUCCUUUCCCAGUACCAUUAUCUCAUCUGGAAGGAUUUUAUGGCUCCUCAGCACCCACAGGGAAACUUCAAUUCAUCAAGCGCAUUAACUCCGAAUACUCAUUGCAGCAUGGCCCAAUUCUAGUUCACUGCACUGCCGGUGUCGGCUGGACGGGUACGUUUGUUGCGUUGGAUACCUUAACGCAGCAGCUGAACGAGGAGGGCCAAGUGUUCAUUUUCAACACAAUUUAUGAUAUGUGAUAUCAAAGAAAUUUUCUCGUACAGUCAUUG